rnacentral:rRNA from 1 species
GACGAACGCUGGCGGCGUGCUCAACACAUGCAAGUCGAACGAAGAGCGAUGGAAGCUUGCUUCUAUCAAUCUUAGUGGCGAACGGGUGAGUAACGCGUAAUCAACCUGCCCUUCAGAGGGGGACAACAGUUGGAAACGACUGCUAAUACCGCAUACGAUCUAAUCUCGGCAUCGAGGAUAGAUGAAAGGUGGCCUCUACAUGUAAGCUAUCACUGAAGGAGGGGAUUGCGUCUGAUUAGCUAGUUGGAGGGGUAACGGCCCACCAAGGCGAUGAUCAGUAGCCGGUCUGAGAGGAUGAACGGCCACAUUGGGACUGAGACACGGCCCAGACUCCUACGGGAGGCAGCAGUGGGGAAUCUUCCGCAAUGGACGAAAGUCUGACGGAGCAACGCCGCGUGAGUGGUGACGGCCUUCGGGUUGUAAAGCUCUGUUAAUCGGGACGAAAGGCCUUCUUGCGAAUAGUGAGAAGGAUUGACGGUACCGGAAUAGAAAGCCACGGCUAACUACGUG